GCGCGCUACUCUUUUGUUUAGGUGGCUCGCCGAGUGGGAAUAGGGAUUGGAGGGUUGAGGGGGUGGAGGAGGAGGACGGCGGUGGCUUGUGGAGCGCGCGCGGCGGCGGCCACUGGAGCGCUCGGGGUACUAGGGGUUAGAGAGGAUGUAGAACGCGCGCGUGUGGGGUUAGCUCUGGACGUCGACCGCUGGAGUGCGCGGCAGUAGCGCCGGGCGGGCCGGCAACGAGGACGACCGCGCUGGGCGGCGGGCGUAGACCGGCCAACUCGGGGACUCGGGGACUUAGCAGCGCGGUGUGGAGGUCGAUUCAUCGAAGGAAAACGGUGCAGAGGUAACCGGCAGGUACCACGAUAGAGAAGCCGGCGAUCAAUAAUGAUGUUGACUCGUAGAAGAGAACGUCUCUAGGUAGCUGUAAGGAACGACUACCGACGGGCUCGAUACUCUUAUUAGCAGGAGGUUGGCGGAGCCGGCGAGUGGUUGUGCGGGUGGACGUCAAGUCGUGUGUCGGAGGAGGGUCACCCCGGGUAGUGCGAGUCCAGCAAGCAGCGACGGUGGAGGCCAGCAAGUUAAUGCGUCGGGAUUCUGCAAGUGACGGUAGUCUUUGUCGCUGCUCGUGCUUCUGUGGAAGAGUACGAGUCACGAUAGAGGGAGUAUUGUGUUCUUCAAGUACAUUUUGACAACGUUUCCAAGUCUCUCUAAUCGAGCGGGGAGGAGGUAUCUAUCGGAUGUGGUCGACGGUCUUGGGCAGGUCCACGACCAGUAGUAGGAGCUAGAAGUUAAUGCCCAGUCGUUGCCGCGACGCUUAUCUUUCCCGGGACACUUCAAGUUAAACAAAAAGAAAGGCUUCAAGUCAAACAACUAAAAGACUUCAAACCUAACAACUAAAAAAAUUCUCUUUCCAACGAAGUGAACGUGAGGAGAUAGAUUAGGAUACACCACUAGAGGAACUGAGGAGGAGCCAAGCCUCGAUCGCCGCCAAGAAGUCGAAGAGACGACGCAACAGCGCUAACAACGUCUCUGUUUAAAAUAUGAAACAAGUAGAUGCCACGGUUCAACUCGCCUGUGGCAUCGUGAGCUCUUCUACCCCUCUCCUACACACCACUUCUCUUUUGUAUCCCAAAGUUUAACAGGUAACCACCAUCGUAGAUUAGUAAAAUGGUUUCACAUUACCUGUACACAUACAUACAUAUCAUCGUAUAAAAUGAGCUUGGCUCAAUAAAAAAAAUUACGUGCUUCAAACACGUCGGUUUUUUUGUACAUAAUUUGACCAAAAACACACAAAAGAUUGGAAAAGAUGUGGAAAGAUGCUCUACAUGUUUAG
rnacentral:rRNA from 1 species